rnacentral:rRNA from 1 species
UGGGGGAUAUUGCACAAUGGGGGGAACCCUGAUGCAGCGACGCCGCGUGAGUGAAGAAGUAUUUCGGUAUGUAAAGCUCUAUCAGCAGGGAAGAAAAGGGGCGUAAGCCCCUGUGACAGUACCUGACUAAGAAGCCCCGGCUAACUACGUGCCAGCAGCCGCGGUAAUACGUAGGGGGCAAGCGUUAUCCGGAUUUACUGGGUGUAAAGGGAGCGUAGGCGGCGCGGCAAGUCAGAAGUGAAAGCCCGGGGCCCAACCCCGGGACUGCUUUUGAAACUGCCGUGCUGGAGUGUCGGAGAGGUAAGUGGAAUUCCUAGUGUAGCGGUGAAAUGCGUAGAUAUUAGGAGGAACACCAGUGGCGAAGGCGGCUUACUGGACGAUGACUGACGCUGAGGCUCGAAAGCGUGGGGAGCAAACAGG